UACGGAGGGUGCAAGCGUUAUCCGGAUUUACUGGGUUUAAAGGGUGUGUAGGCGGGCUUUUAAGUCAGUGGUGAAAUCUCCGAGCUUAACUUGGAAACUGCCAUUGAUACUAUCAGUCUUGAAUAUUGUGGAGGUCAGCGGAAUAUGUCAUGUAGCGGUGAAAUGCUUAGAUAUGACAUAGAACACCAAUUGCGAAGGCAGCUGGCUACGCAUAUAUUGACACUGAGGCACGAAAGCGUGGGGAUCAAACAGG
rnacentral:rRNA from 1 species